AUACGAAGGGUGCAAGCGUUAAUCGGAAUUACUGGGCGUAAAGCGCGCGUAGGUGGUUCAGCAAGUUGGAUGUGAAAGCCCCGGGCUCAACCUGGGAACUGCAUCCAAAACUACUGAGCUAGAGUACGGUAGAGGGUGGUGGAAUUUCCUGUGUAGCGGUGAAAUGCGUAGAUAUAGGAAGGAACACCAGUGGCGAAGGCGACCACCUGGACUGAUACUGACACUGAGGUGCGAAAGCGUGGGGAGCAAACAGGAUUAGAUCCCCUGGUAGUCCACGCCGUAAACGAUGUCAACUAGCUGUUGGGUUCCUUGAGAACUUAGUAGCGAAGCUAACGCGAUAAGUUGACCGCCUGGGGAGUACGGCCGCAAGGUUAAAACUCAAAUGAAUUGGCGGGG
rnacentral:rRNA from 1 species